rnacentral:snRNA from 1 species
AUACUCACUUAGGCAGCAUGUGUGGUAAAACUGGACCAAUGCAGAGAGGUUAAUGUAACCCCUGUACAAGGUGAUAUGCAAAUUUAUGAAGCAUUUCAUGUUUCU